rnacentral:rRNA from 1 species
GUCGAACGCGAAAGGGGGUUUCGGCCCCCCGAGUAGAGUGGCGUACGGGUGAGUAACACGUGGGUAAUCUGCCUUUGGGUGGGGAAUAACGUCCCGAAAGGGACGCUAAUACCACAUAACGCAGCGGCACCGCAUGGUGACAGUUGUUAAAGUGGGGGAUCUUCGGACCUCACGCCUGAAGAGGAGCUCGCGCCCGAUUAGCUAGUUGGGGGGGUAACGGCCCACCAAGGCGACGAUCGGUAGCCGGCCUGAGAGGGCGGUCGGCCACACUGGCACUGAGAUACGGGCCAGACUCCUACGGGAGGCAGCAGUGGGGAAUUUUGGGCAAUGGGCGAAAGCCUGACCCAGCAACGCCGCGUGAAGGACGAAAUCCCUUCGGGAUGUAAACUUCAAAAGUUGGGGAAGAAAUGCCUGGGGAUAACACCCCCGGGAGAUGACGGUACCCAACGUAAGCCCCGGCUAACUACGUGCCAGCAGCCGCGGUAAUACGUAGGGGGCAAGCGUUGUUCGGAAUUACUGGGCGUAAAGGGCGCGUAGGCGGCACGGCAAGUCAGGAGUGAAAGCCCUGGGCUCAACCCGGGAACUGCUUUUGAAACUGCCGAGCUAGAGUGCGGAAGGGGCAACUGGAAUUCCCAGUGUAGCGGUGAGAUGCGUAGAUAUUGGGAAGAACACCUGAGGCGAAGGCGGGUUGCUGGGCCGACACUGACGCUGAGGCGCGAAAGCCAGGGGAGCGAACGGGAUUAGAUACCCCGGUAGUCUGGCCCUA